AACGAACGCUGGCGGCAGGCUUAACACAUGCAAGUCGAGCGCCCCGCAAGGGGAGCGGCAGACGGGUGAGUAACGCGUGGGAAUCUACCUUUUGCUACGGAAUAACUCAGGGAAACUUGUGCUAAUACCGUAUGUGCCCUUCGGGGGAAAGAUUUAUCGGCAAAGGAUGAGCCCGCGUUGGAUUAGCUAGUUGGUGGGGUAAUGGCCUACCAAGGCGACGAUCCAUAGCUGGUCUGAGAGGAUGAUCAGCCACAUUGGGACUGAGACACGGCCCAAACUCCUACGGGAGGCAGCAGUGGGGAAUAUUGGACAAUGGGCGCAAGCCUGAUCCAGCCAUGCCGCGUGAGUGAUGAAGGCCCUAGGGUUGUAAAGCUCUUUCACCGGUGAAGAUAAUGACGGUAACCGGAGAAGAAGCCCCGGCUAACUUCGUGCCAGCCGCCGCAGUAA
rnacentral:rRNA from 1 species